AAGGCAUAGCAUUUCAAUCUGAAAACAACUUCUCCUUUCCCCUGGGUAAGGAAAAAAUCCUCUUACACAUUUCUGUAUUAAACGACACUGCAGAGCCCAACAGUAAGACAGGUUCCUAUCUGAAAACAUCUGCACUGGAGAUCUCAAGCUAACAGGAGGCCUGAGGUGAUGUGUGAUGUAUGCACUAGUGCACCAGAGGCCUGAGGUGAUGUGUGCGCUAGUGCACCAGAGGCCUGAGGUGAUGUGUGAUGUAUGCACUAGUGCACCAGAGGCCCGAGGUGAUGUGUGCGCUAGUGCACCAGAGGCCCAAGGUGAUGUGUGCACUAGUGUACCAGAGGCCUGAGGUGAUGUAUGCACUAGUGCACCAGAGGCCCGAGGUGAUGUGUGCGCUAGUGUACCAGAGGCCCGAGGUGAUGUGUGCACUAGUAUACCAGAGGCCUGAGGUGAUGUGUGCGCUAGUGUACCAGUGUUCACUGGCAGUAGAGGACAGGGCUGAAUUGUCCUGGGACCUUUUAAUCCCACCCAAGCCCAACCUCUCUUAGGGUUGGCAUUGUUUUGAGGAGGCUUGAAGAGAAAAUGAGUAAGAGUUUGCAACUUGAGGUUGUAUAAGCAGAUUGGAGUUCAGCUAAUGUUUCUAUUUAAGGUCUCU
ensembl:lncRNA